CCUACGGGUGGCAGCAGUAGGGAAUUUUCGUCAAUGGGCGCAAGCCUGAACGAGCGAUGCCGCGUGAGUGAAGAAGGCCUUCUGGUCGUAAAGCUCUGUUUCUGGGGAAAAAAGGCAGCAUCAGUAAAUGGGUGCUGACUGAUGGUGCCCCUCCAGACCGUCACGGCUAACUACGUGCCAGCAGCCGCGGUAAUACGUAGGUGGCGAGCGUUAUCCGGAAUGAUUGGGCGUAAAGGGUGCGCAGGCGGUCCUGCAAGUCUGGAGUGAAACGCAUGAGCUCAACCCAUGCAUGGCUUUGGAAACGGGAGGACGGGAGAGCAGGAGAGGGGGGUGGAAGUCCAGGUGUAGCGGUAAAAUGCGUAGAUAUAUGGAAGAACACGAGUGGCGAAGGCGGCUGCCUGGCCUGGUGCUGACGCUUAGGAACGAAAGCGUGGGGGCAAAUAGGAUUAGAUACCCCAGUAGUC
rnacentral:rRNA from 1 species